GGUACUCAUUCAGAGUUGCAUUGAAUCUUGGACGGAAGGGUGAAUGAAGUUUAUCAAAGAAGACAGGGUUCCAUGCUCUUGCAAGUGCUUUUAAACGGAUCAGUUCAAAGGAGCUGAACAUGUGAAACAUGACAAUUCAUGAAGCCAAAAAACUGAAAUCAGGGUAACCAGAAGUCACCAACAGCUGAUUCCCAAUGAAGGCAUACAAGUAAUAAAGAGCCGUUCCUCAAAAUGGAUAUUAUGGGAAAUUAAGUUCUUGCUUGCAUACAUAUUUUGAGAGGAAAAGCUAAAGAUCACAUCUUCUCCAUAAGGGCCAAGCCUACCUUCAUCGCCCAGAGAGAGAGCAGGCACUUAAAAGCUCCACCACGCACACAACUUGCGCGUGUCCAAUAUCUUUCUUUAGAAUAUAAUUCUCCUCCUCAAACUGGCCCAGAGCAGCCAGCGCAAAGACAGACAGAUACACCAGCCAGCAAUGUCUCGCCACAGACGCCAAGCCUCUCGAGUCCUCCCACCAGAGCUAACAUUGGAAGGGGACGAGCCACCUCCCAAAUCCACUACUGACUCAACCCAAGCAAUUGCUAGUCCUUAUGGUCGUCACGGCUCUAAUGGUUCAACCACUGACAGGUCUGCAGCAAAUCCAUCCGCUCAUCGCCACCAAGACUCUUCCGGAAACCAUUCCCAGGGUCCUGAAACGAAGCCUUCUGCAAGCACCAAACCUUCUUGAUAGCUGACAGCUGAAGCAGAACAAGUACUUAAUAAAUUUUUGCAGUUAUGUUAAAGCUGAUCCUCAUGUUUCUUCCCGGUUCCAGUUCCUUUUUUUUUUUUCUUUCUGUUUUCUCUUGGUAAGGUGAAAAGCUUUUUAUUUCUUAUUGUAUGUUUAUGGGAAGUGUUGAUUAGCUAGAAAAGUCUGCCGUAGUUUUUAUUUUCCUCUUUCCCACUCAAUUUAGAAGUUGCAUAAGGUUUUCCCAA